rnacentral:rRNA from 1 species
CGAACGGAAAGGCCAGUGCUUGCACUGGUACUCGAGUGGCGAACGGGUGAGUAACACGUGGGUGAUCUGCCCUGCACUUCGGGAUAAGCCUGGGAAACUGGGUCUAAUACCGGAUAGGACCACAUUUUGGAUGGUGUGGUGGAAAGUUUUUCGGUGUGGGAUGAGCUCGCGGCCUAUCAGCUUGUUGGUGGGGUAAUGGCCUACCAAGGCGUCGACGGGUAGCCGGCCUGAGAGGGUGUACGGCCGCAUUGGGACUGAGAUACGGCCCAGACUCCUACGGGAGGCAGCAGUGGGGAAUAUUGCACAAUGGGCGCAAGCCUGAUGCAGCGACGCCGCGUGGGGGAUGACGGCCUUCGGGUUGUAAACUCCUUUCGCUAGGGACGAAGCGUAUUUGUGACGGUACCUGGAGAAGAAGCACCGGCUAACUACGUGCCAGCAGCCGCGGUAAUACGUAGGGUGCGAGCGUUGUCCGGAAUUACUGGGCGUAAAGAGCUCGUAGGUGGUUUGUCGCGUCGUUUGUGUAAGCCCGCAGCUUAACUGCGGGACUGCAGGCGAUACGGGCAUAACUUGAGUGCUGUAGGGGAGACUGGAAUUCCUGGUGUAGCGGUGGAAUGCGCAGAUAUCAGGAGGACACCGAUGGCGA